AGAAAAAAUUGCCUCCUGUAAGGCUAUGGCUGUGGUCUACCUGCAGUUCUGAAGCAUGACUGCAGCAGGUUGUGACUCUGCUGUAAUAUGGAAGCUAACAGCUGUGCAAUGAUGGCAUCAGCUGCAGAGUAUUUAGGCAGGAGGCUCAGUGCUAACUAUUCCCACUUGUGGUGAUUGAAUUGCUUGUGGCAUGUGAGCUCCCACAGCUAGAACCAGUUGAGUGUGCCCAUGGGGCUGCAGACAUAUCCUGGGGGUUCUGGGCUGACUUGCGAAUGUUUGUUGUAUGCUUGUGCUGUGUGUGGACCCUGGGACAAUGCAGGAACAGCAGAUGAUGCAUUUCUGAAGACUUUGGGGCAGUGGGAGGAAAGCAGCUGUACGAGGCACUGCGGUACCAAACAGAACUUUCUGCACGGAUUGACUGGGAGCAGCAGUUCCACCCCAAAUAACCAGCUCCCUGGGUCUCAGCCUGCAGUCUCACUCAGACAGAAGACUGUGUCCUCUAGAUCUUGACCAGUCAUGUGACAGACUUCAGUGAAUCUCUGCAUCAGGAUUUCACAUGGAACCAAUGUUGUUGAAUCUGGGAUUUGCAGGAAUUGUUUCUGCUUAAGCUAACAUAUGGUUUCCUUUUGGAAGGAAAAGAUGCACACGGUAAAGGAUGCUAGGAGGCAGCUAAAAUGUGAAGAAACCUUCACUUGGCUUUUUCUGCUGAGAUGAAAUUUAGCACCAAAGUCACAUUGCCAUGCAACCCCCAAGGCACCAGAAACCAUAUCUAGACUGAACUGCUCUGCAGGGAUUCUGAUGUCCACUGGUGGCUGUCCAUGCUGUCUGCUUGGAGCGAAGGGAGUGUUCAGCUCACCGGAGCAGCAGGAGAAAUGUGUAGGAAAUGAAGUCUCACUACCAUAGGCACCUCCAUUGUCCUGUGCUUGAACAGAGGAUUCCGAGCUGGAAGCUUCGGGGAUCAGAAAGAAGACCUUGCUGUUGUGGAAGCCCCUCACAUCUUCUCCUUGUCCAGUGGAAGCUGUAAUAACGAAGCCCUGGAAGAUCGUUUAUAUAACAGUCUGAUGGUUUGGUUAGCUUUCAUGACUGACUGUCUGCAAGUGGCUUUUGGAAGCUCUUCUGGUGUUUCUUGAAGUUAAACUUCAGUAGGAGAGUACUAUGUCGUUUGUGUUGUAGAUGUGAACUCUGGCAAAAGGAGGACAACCCAGUGGCAUGUGUUGCUCCAGAGCUUCACUACUCUGGGGAGAGGAGAGCAUGUGGCAGCUCCCUCUGCUCUCUGGCUGCUGUUCAGAGUAAUGCUGCUACUCGUGCUGGGCUCCUGCUGUUGUGGUGGUAGUGGUCAGGUGUCCUGGAGCCUGUGGAGCUGCCUCAGGUUGGCCAUGUGGAAGCAGAGACGCUGAGAAAAGGCUCCAUUAAAAGUGAAUGUGUUCAACUUUACUGUGUCGCAUCCUGUGAUGCAGUCAGGUGUAAAUAGAGCACUAGAUCCUGGAGCUGGGAAAGCAUUAGUGGGUCGCUCAGUUUCCUCACUUCACGAAGGUUGAGCCCUUUGCCAAAUUAGGGCUUUAUUGUGCUUGCUUUUGAAUUCUCCAGUGAAGGAGUUUCUACAUAUGGCCCUUUUGCCCCAAACUAUUUCAUAUUCUCAUUUUCUUUCCUAAUAUUCUUUCCCUGUAUUGAGCCUAACUUUCUUUUCAUUCAGCUGCCUCUGAUUGCUCCCACUUAUCCAUCCCACCCCAAGCGCUUCCCUCUUCUCUGAGCUUGUACCUGUCAGAUAUCCCAAAUGGUUUCCUUUGGUCAGAGCCAUACAUAUGCAAUUCCCUAAUCUCCCCUCCGCCAUCUGUUCCCUCCGGCUCUUCAUUACUUUGCUAGCCCUGCUCUGAACCGCUUCUCGUUUAUCAAUAUCAUUUUAUGACGAUGCCAGAGCUUCACAGAGUGCCCUGCUGCCCACGGGCACAGCCCACAGAGCCGAGCCCACUGUCUCAGCUCUGCCCCACAGACAGGAGCACGGCAUGUCAAAUAUUGCUCGCCGGUAAAUAUUGACCCAGAAUAAAGCUGAAGACAGACAGUUUUUUCCUAAUUGCUUAAAAAUUCUUUUCUGAAAGACUGAGAGCAGCGCUUGCCUGGCCCUUCUGCAGUGAGAGCAGUUGCUGAGACACAGCUCUAAGUCAUGCAGCUUGCUUUUUAAAUGACUGUUUAUUUUCCAUCGAUAUCGUCUGUUGAGUGCAGAACACGGCCGGUGCUUUCACUGUGCAUGUCUCAUACAUGCUGGGAUUCUUGCUGUUGUGUGAACAAUAAGGAAAUGCAGUGCAUGUCUGAUGGGGUGUGGUGGCUGUGCCUGUGUUGUUGUUUUAAGGGCUUUUAAGCUCAUCCGGAAAAUAAAUGGUUAGAGAGGCUGCAAGCAAAGUAGUUUUUGGGUUAGAACUUUUUGAGACUUGACUUUGGCUUAGACUCUGAUAUAACGUUUUGGUUUCUUUCUGUAAUGGGCAAGGAAGAAUGGAGCAAUAUAUGUUUAGGAGUCUUUUUAUAGUAAACGAAAUAUGUUAAUACGUAGAACAGAAAACAACUUUUAAAACCACUAAGUGCUAGUAGUAAAGCAUGAUGACCACCAAGCAUGUCUCUGCUGAAAAUAGACCACCACCAGAGAAUUACGUUUCAAAACGCUCUGCCGACCGAGCUUGUUUCUAAGAAGUUAAUCUUUACAAGAACAAAAGAAAAGGCUUGAACAAUAAGUCUGCAUGAAAUAAUUGUGUAAGUAAAUAUCAAGAGAGCUCAGGGAGCAAAACUUGAAUGAACUUCGUGCACACGGCAGCGCUUUGAGAACAAUGAGGCGGACUGUGACUGAGGUGUGUGGGCAGACUCUCCCUUGGGUAAAUCAAUGCCAGAAAGUGAGGAUGUGGCCCAGGGUUUGGGAUUACAAUGCCUUACUCCUGGCUGGAGUUCUGCUGAUUGUGUGCCUUUGCCUUGACCCAUUUUGAGCAGAAUAAGGGAAGGAUGCAUGUAGAAGACAGAGACACUGCUUCACCCAAACACUCUCCUGUGCCUGUUUGGCAUUUGCUACUCAUCCCUUUGCUGCUUCAUGUCUUCAUUUCCUUCAGUGUUUGUGUAAAAGCUUAUCUCAGCUGUGAUCUUCCCUCUAAUGACAUGAAAUGGAUGUCAUGCGGGAGGGAGGGAUUCUGUCUCCCUUCUUGGACAAAACUUGAGUGUUCUUCUCAAAGCUCAGCUCUGGAGGUGGUGGGAUGGGGUAAAGGAUGAUCAGAUGGGGGCAGGAUUGGAAGUAGGCUGAUGUGGCACUGUCAGAUGUCUUAGAUUCUUUUUCUUUUUAUUUGUUUGUUUUGUUGGACAAAAAAGAAAAAGAAAACACGAGAUCAAAUGUGCCAUGAAAAUCCUUUUGUGUCACUGGAGCUCCAUCCUUCUCACUCAAACUAAGCCAAUUCCUGAGUACAUCCGUAGCUCUGGGGGUGAAAAGCAAUCCAAGUGGACUCUUCCCCAUUCCCACCAAAGACUUCUGUCAGCAGAGUGAAAUUGCAUCAUCUCAGUGGAGCUUCCGGGCAAGGCUGGCCACUAACUAUUGUUGCGGGUUUAAAAAUCCAGAAAGUUGUAUCAUAACAACAUCCGUGGAUCUGCAGUUGCACUGUGCUUGGUUAAGUGUUGCCUUUGAUCUUCCCAGAGAACCUAACCAUAGCCAGCUAUUUAAUGAGCAAGGGAAGGAUUUCUCA